UCCGAGGAGCAUGUCUGUUUGAGUGUCAUGAACUCUUCAACCCUCCAUUCCCCCGUUUGUAAAUGUUUUGAGGUGAUUGGAUUUUGAGUACUUGCUCUUUUAUCAAAAUUAGCUUACUCGUAAUACAUUAGCACAAUUCAACUUCGAACUCGGAUUGACUCGGCGUAAUAGACUAUUCGCUGAGGACAUUGAGAAUUAAUUUCCUCUAAUGGCCGACUUUAGACGAUUUGAAUAGCUUCAAAUACAUAAACCUUUUUUAAGAUUAGACCUCAAAUCAGGCAGGAUUACCCGCUGAACUUAA
rnacentral:rRNA from 1 species